UUUAAUGCUUCAGAGUUGCAGAGUAUGAUUUAAAAUUCAUCAGUGUUUUUCAUGAAUUCUAUUAGGUGAGGAAGGAAGACAUGAGUACACAGAGGAGGCAGGAGAGGAUGAAAAAGAGGGAGAGAAAGAGCGAGAGGCUGAAAAGGGAGGCCAGGCAAAGACGGAAGCUGGAUGUAGAGACUGAGCUGGAGCACACCAGGCCAAAAGAGGAAGCUUGGUCUCGAGAAAGAGAGAAAGUCAAAGCAACUAAGAUGAAAAGAGAAUGUGAAACUCAAAAGGCAGAAAGAGUAGUCCCUAACCUCGAGAGAGAGUGGCAGGGAGAAGUAGAAGCAAGGAUCAGAGAGUUAGAAGGAUUGAACAGAAGGGUUGAUAGUAAACACAUUAGGGAGCAAGACAAGGGAGGAAAACAACAAAGAGAGAACAGAAUGUGUGGAGAGAUGAAUGACAAGAUGAGGCAAUCGAGACAAGGAGAAGAAGACAUGCUUAAGGAAGAGAACCAAUGGAAGAGAAAUAUGAACAGGCAGGGUGAGAAAACUAGGUACCAGUGGGAAAAAAUAGUGAAGGAGAAAAACAAAUUGAGAGAAAAUGGGAUUAAAAUGAGAGAAACUGAUGGAAAAAGGAAACAAGAGGAAGAUAGACUGACAGAGCUCCAGAAAGAGAGAGAGAAAGAGAGAGGCCGGUUGAACAAGGAUAAAAAGAAGAAAAUAGAGACUGAGAUAGAGGAGGGCCAUCUGAGAGAGUCGAUCAAAAUACUUGAAAAAGAGAAAGAGAGAUUGAAGGAGGAAGAAGAGAGAAAAAUACAAAUGCGAAAGGAGAGAAAGACAGAGGAGGGCCGAUUGGGUGAAUUGGAGAGAGCAGAAGAGAAAUACGGAAAGAAGGAAGACAAAAGGAGUACAAAAUACAUGGGGAGCGACAGAAGGCAUGAAGGUGACAGACAGAGUAUUCUGGAAGUUGAAAAGAUAAAAGAAAACAAGAGACUGAAAGAUGAAAAAAGAGGCAGACAUGAAAUGGAGAGAAAACAAGUACAAGAGACGAUACAGGAUUUAGAGAUUAAAAAGCAAGAUCUUGAGAGAACACUACAAAAACAAAAGGAGGAAGAGAUGGAAAUAGAAAGAAAGACAGAAGAAAAGAGACUGAGAGAAGAGACAAAGGCAAUACGUAUGGAAACCCAAAGAACGAAAGAAGAAAUGAAGAGACUGGCAGGUGAAAAAAGAGGUAUAAAUGAAAUGGAGAGAAAACAAGUAGAAGGGACGAGGCAGGAGUUAGAGAUUAAAAAGCAAGAUCUUGAGAGAACACUCCAAAAACAAAAGGAGGAAGAGAUGGAAAUAGAAAGAAAGAGAGAAGAAAAGAGACUGAGAGACGAGAUGAAGGCAAUACGUAUGGAAACCCAAAGAACGAAAGAAGAAAUCAAGAGACUGGCAAGUGAAAAAAGAGGUAUAAAUGAAAUGGAGAGAAAACAAGUAGAAGGGACGAGGCAGGAGUUAGAGAUUAAAAAGCAAGAUCCUGAAAGAACACUACAAAAACAAGAGGAAGUGAGGAAAAUAGAAACGAAGAGAGAGGAAGAGAGGCUGGGAGAAGAGACAAAGACAAUACAGAUGGAAAUCCAAAGAAAUAAAGAAGAAAGCAAGAGACUAGAAGAAGAAAAAACUAAGAAAAAAGAGCGGGAGGUGAGAAGAAAAAGAGAAGAAGACAGACUAAAACAACUGGCAAAAGAAAAUGAGAAAGAGAAAGUUAGACUAAAGGAAGAAAAGAAGAGAGAAAAGGUUGAGAGAAAACAAAAAACAAAGGCGUUAGAGCUUAAAAAGCAAGAUCCUGAUAGAACACUACAAAAACAAGAGGAAGAGAGGAAAAUAGAAAGGAAGAGAGAGGAAGAGAGGCUGGGAGAAGAGACAAAGACAAUACAGAUGGAAAUCCAAAGAAAUAAAGAAGAAAGCAAGAGACUAGAAGAAGAAAAAACUAAGAAAAAAGAGCGGGAGGUAACAAGAAAAAGAGAAGAAGACAGACUGAAAGAACUGGCAAAAGAAAAUGAGAAAGUUGGACUAAAGGAAGAAAAAUUUAAGGGAGAAAUGGUGGAGAGAAAACAUAAAACAAAGGCGUUAGAGCUUAAAAAGCAAGAUCCUGAGAGAACACUACAAAAACAAGAGGAAGUGAGGAAAAUAGAAAGAAAGAGAGAGGAAGAGAGGCUGGGAGAAGAGACAAAGACAAUACAGAUGGAAAUCCAAAGAAAUAAAGAAGAAAGCAAGAGACUAGAUGAAGAAGAAGAAAAAAGAAAGAAAAAAGAGCUGGAGGUAACAAGAAAAAGAGAAGAAGACAGACUGAAAGAACUGGCAAAAGAAAAUAAGAAAGAGAAAGUUAGACUAAAGGAAAAAGAAAACAAGAGACUGGAAGAUGAAGCAAAAAGAAAGAAAAAAGAGCUGGAGGUAACAAGAAAAAGAGAAGAAGACAGACUGAAAGAACUGGCAAAAGAAAAUAAGAAAGAGAAAGUUAGACUAAAGGAAGAAGAAAGGAAGAGAGAAAAGGUGGAGAGGGAACAAAAUAAAAGGGAAGAAAGACUGAGAGAGUUAGCAGCUGCCACUGAAAAAGUGAAGGAAAUAGAAAGGAAGAGAAAGGAGAAGGAGGAAGAAAGGGAUAAAGAAAAUGCAUGGAAUUUGGAGAUAAAAAGGCAAGAGAUUGCGAAAGCACAGCACAAACUAGGGGAGGAUUUGUUGGAAAUGAUAAAGAAGACUGACAAAGAGACACUGGAAGGAGGGAAUAUGAAUAGGAAACAUGAGGUAACAAAGACACCGAAAGAAGAGGCCAUGAAAAUCUCAUCAAACGAAGAAAAGGUCCAUCCUAUGAUGGAUCCAACAAACCUGACCAAAUUACAGCUGAAGAAGGCCA
rnacentral:lncRNA from 1 species